CGGAUUUCACAACGGAUUCAUAAAGACGCGGGUGUAACGGCAUGUCUCGGUCGCGGUAGCGGAGAAAAGACCCGGGGACGAUACCGUGCAAUACACGACCUUAUACAAUAAUAAAUAUAUUAACCGACUCGAAAACGAAAUUAUGAUUGUUUGUAGAUUUCCGUUUGUAGAUCCCACUCUAUAAUACGCGAACGUACAACCACGGGCAGUACCUACGGCUCACCGUGUAUACUUUGUUCGUCGUCGAAAUU